CAGUAGCCGCGGUAAUACGUAGGUGGCAAGCGUUGUCCGGAAUUAUUGGGCGUAAAGGGCUCGCAGGCGGUUUCUUAAGUCUGAUGUGAAAGCCCCCGGCUCAACCGGGGAGGGUCAUUGGAAACUGGGGAACUUGAGUGCAGAAGAGGAGAGUGGAAUUCCACGUGUAGCGGUGAAAUGCGUAGAGAUGUGGAGGAACACCAGUGGCGAAGGCGACUCUCUGGUCUGUAACUGACGCUGAGGAGCGAAAGCGUGGGGAGCGAACAGGAUUAGAUACCCCUGUAGUCCCUGUCUCUUAUAC
rnacentral:rRNA from 1 species